AACCCAUGGUGAGGACACCAGCUCAAUAAAUCCUUAUACCUCUACCAUGUAUCAUAUAGUCUCUAAGUCUAUCUACAUGAAAGAAGUGAUAUCAUUUCUCAAUUU
rfam:Gossypium hirsutum cultivar TM-1 chromosome 16, whole genome shotgun sequence